rnacentral:rRNA from 1 species
ACCVGAGAGUCGACCUGGCUCAGAUCGAACGCUGGCGGCAUGCNAACACAUGCAAGUCGAACGGUAACAGCGCNUCCAGGGCGCUGCGAGUGGCGGACGGGUGAGUUAAUGCGUAGGAAUCURCCUUGUUGUGGGGGAUAACUCGGGGAAACCCRAGCUAAUACCGCAUACGCCUCACGGAGGAAAGCGGGGGAUCUUCGGACCUCGCGCAAUAAGAUGAGCCUACGUCGGAUUAGCUAGNUNGUGGGGUNAAGGCCNACCAACGCGACGAUCCNNAGCUNGUCUGAGAGGACGAUCAGCCACACUNCNACUGAGAGACGAUCCAGNCUCUACGGAGGCAGCAGUGGGAAUAUUGGACAAUGGGCGCAAGCCUGAUCCAGCAAUGCCGCGUGUGUGAGAGAAGGCUNCGGGUUGUNAAGCACUUUAAGCAGGGAAGAAGGGUGGGGUGUUAAUACCAUCUCACAUUGACGUUACCUGCAGAAUAAGCACCGGCUAGCUCGGUGCCAGCAGCGCGUAAUACGAGNGUGCAAGCGUUAAUCGGAAUUACUGGGCGUAAAGCCACGUUAUCANUUUCAUAAGUCUCRAUGUVAACCUNGGCNNAACMUMNNAACNCAUANAUACUCGCUAUCUAGGUAGUGGAUUCGAGUGUAGAGUGCAAUGCGUAGAGAUCCGAGAACACCAGUGCGAAGGCGGCUCCUUGGACCAACACUGACGCUGAGGUGCGAAAGCGUGGGGAGCAAACAGGAUAGAUACCCUNGUAGUCCACGCUGUAAACGAUGUCAACUAGCCGUUGGAGGGGUUNAACCNNUUAGUGGCGCAGCUAACGCGAUAAGUUGACNGCCUGGGGAGUACGGCCGCAAGGUUAAAACUCUAAAUGAAUUGUACGGGGCCGCACUAAGCGGGGAGUCAUGUNGAUUUAAUUCGAUNAACGCGAAGAACCUUACCUGGCCUUGACAUGCUUGGAAUCCUGCAGAGAUGCGGGGUGCUUCGGGAGCCAAGACACAGGUACUGCAUGGCUNUCGUCAGCUCGUGUCGUGAGAUGUUGGGUUAAUUAGCCUUAUGGCUUAGGGCUWCGCUACAGAGCUGGUACAGUGGGUGACGUAGCCGUCAGGGUUGGUAGCCUAAGAGCUAAUCUCCAGAAAGCUCUUAGUCCGGAUUGCAGUCUGCAACUCGACUGCAUGAAGUCGGAAUCGCUAGUAAUCGCGGAUCAGCAUGCUGCGGUNAAUACGUUCCC